AUUAAUCGCUAGGGGUGCAUUAAAAAUGCUGAGAUUGUAAAUGCCAAUCCCUUUGAACCUGAUUUGGUCAAAACCAACGUAGGAAAGUGAUAAUCCUUGCAG
rnacentral:ncRNA from 2 species